rnacentral:rRNA from 1 species
UUUAACACAUGCAAGUCGAACGGAAACGAAAAUAGCUUGCUAUUUGGCGUCGAGCGGCGAACGGGUGAGUAACGCGUAGGAAUCUACCCAGUAGAGGGGGAUAGCCCGAAGAAAUUCGGAUUAAUACCGCAUAAUCUCUACGGAGUAAAGAAGGCCUCUUUACAAUGCUUUUACUAUUGGAUGAGCCUGCGUUAGAUUAGUUAGUUGGUAGGGUAAAAGCCUACCAAGGCGACGAUCUAUAGCUGGUUUUACGAGAAUGAUCAGCCACACUGGAACUGAGACACGGUCCAGACUCCUACGGGAGGCAGCAGUGAAGAAUAUUGGACAAUGGGGGAAACCCUGAUCCAGCAAUGUUGCGUGUGUGAAGAAGGUCCGAGGAUUGUAAAGCACUUUCAGUAAGCAAGAAAAAUGUAAAUCUAAUAGAUUUGCAUGUUGACCACUUAUAGAAGAAGCACCGGCUAACUCCGUGCCAGUAGCCGCGGUAAUACGGAGGGUGCGAGCGUUAAUCGGAAUUACUGGGCGUAAAGGGUAAGUAGGCGGUUUAUAAAGUCACAUGUGAAAGCCCUAGGCUUAACCUAGGA